rnacentral:other from 2 species
AUCCCCCUGCGGUGUUCGAUAGGACAGACUUCCUUCUGAGCCGAUAACUUACGAGCCCAGGGGACCUGCGCUGUCCGUGGAGCGUCCGCCCUUUUGGCAGACCGGAAGCGGUUAUCAGGACCCCACCUUACACUGAGGGUUCAGAGGAGCACGUUUAACGGCACAUGUGGGGGGAUU